CCUACGGGCGGCAGCAGUGGGGGAUAUUGCACAAUGGGGGAAACCCUGAUGCAGCGACGCCGCGUGUAGGAAGACGGUCCUCUGGAUUGUAAACUACUGUCCCCAGGGACGAAGAUGACGGUACCUGGGGAGGAAGCUCCGGCUAAAUACGUGCCAGCAGCCGCGGUAAUACGUAGGGAGCGAGCGUUGUCCGGAAUUACUGGGUGGAAAGGGAGCGUAGGCGGGGAUGCAAGUUGGGUGUUAAAUCUACCGGCUCAACUGGUAGUCGCACUCAAAACUGCAGCUCUUGAGUGAAGUAGAGGCAGGCGGAAUUCCUAGUGUAGCGGUGAAAUGCGUAGAUAUUAGGAGGAACACCAGUGGCGAAGGCGGCCUGCUGGGCUUUUACUGACGCUGAGGCUCGAAAGUGUGGGGAGCAAACAGGAUUAGAUACCCGUGUAGUC
rnacentral:rRNA from 1 species